AGUGUUUUACUUGAUUUUAAGCUCAUUCUAAACCAUAAAGGGUGUGUUUUAAUAUCAAAUUUAAGUAUGAAAAUAACGGUUUUUAGACCGUUAUCAAUAGUAAAACGAAAUUCAAAUUAACCUGGAAACGAAUUCAGAAACAAAGGAAUGAACAAAAGAGAAAAAAAAAAACGAAAAACCUAAAAACUCCAACUAUGUUCUAC
rnacentral:lncRNA from 1 species